GAUGAAGAACGCAGCGAACUGCGAUAAGUAAUGUGAAUUGCAGAAUUCAGUGAAUCAUCGAGUCUUUGAACGCACAUUGCGCCCCCUGGCAUUCCGGGGGGCAUGCCUGUCCGAGCGUCAUUGCUGCCCUUCAAGCCCGGCUUGUGUGUUGGGUCGUCGUCCCCCCCGGGGGACGGGCCCGAAAGGCAGCGGCGGCACCGCGUCCGGUCCUCGAGCGUAUGGGGCUUUGUCACCCGCUCGAUUAGGGCCGGCCGGGCGCCAGCCGGCGUCUCCAACCUUCUAUUUUACAGGUUGACCUCGGAUCAGGUAGGGAUACCCGCUGAACUUAAGCAUAUCAAUAAGCGGAGGA
rnacentral:misc_RNA from 1 species